AGACUUUCCUGGAAGAGGAGACACCACCACUCUGAACGUGGUUCUCCCACCCCCCGAGUGUGAUAUCUCUGAGGGUGCUCACUCCUGGGAUUUCCCCAGAUUUGGAAACUUGACCUCAUAAUUUGUGGUGGUGGGACUACACUCAUGAUUUCCCUU